GUGUGCAUUUUUCGUUGGGGAUUACCUAGAAUAAAACGUCGUGUCUUCCUUUGAUUCCUUAUGCGGGAUAUCCGAUCAAUUAGAAUUCAGGUUAAAGAGGGUCUUUAUCCUCGUCGUAUUCUUUAUAUGGAAAUCUGGGGUCAGGGUAUCAUUCUCUUGACUCGUACUAACGAUAAAAUUUUUACUCCACGAGAAAUUGAACAAAAAGCUGCUGAAUUGGCCUAUUUCUUGCGCGUAACAAGAAAAAAAAAGAAUAUGAAACGGACCAAACAAACCAAAGUAAACAAAAAAAAUGUAGAGAAACCAGCCCCAAAAAAUUGGAGGUUACCUUGGAAGGUUCCCAGAACCGGUGAAGAGUUAAUACUUUAG
rnacentral:rRNA from 1 species